CCUACGGGAGGCAGCAGUGAGGAAUAUUGGUCAAUGGUCGGAAUACUGAACCAGCCAAGCCGCGUGAAGGAUGAAGGUUCUACGAGUUGUAAACUUCUUUUGUCAGGGAAUAAAGUCCUUGACGUGUCGCCUUUUGAAUGUACCUUACGAAUAAGCAUCGGCUAACUCCGUGCCAGCAGCCGCGGUAAUACGGAGGAUGCGAGCGUUAUCCGGAUUUAUUGGGUUUAAAGGGUGCGUGGGUGGUUUUUUAAGUCAGCGGUGAAAUCCCGUGGCUCAACCACGGGCCUGCCGUUGAAACUGGAAGACUAGAGUGGGUAUGCGGUAGGCGGAAUGUGUGGUGUAGCGGUGAAAUGCAUAGAUAUAGCGCAGAACUCCGAUUGCGAAGGCAGCUUGCCAGGCCGGAACUGACACUGAGGCACGAAAGCGUGGGGAUCGAACAGGAUUAGAUACCCCAGUAGUC
rnacentral:rRNA from 1 species